GACAACUCGCGGGGAUUGUUUUCCACACCGUGGAAGCUUUGUUCUUUUCGUUUUUUGCAAUAAAUCUUGUUGCUGCUCGCUUUUUGGGUCCACAUUGCUUUUAUGAGCUGUACCACUCACCGUGAAGAUCUGCAGCUUCACUUCAGAGCCUAGCGAGACCACAAGCUCACUGAGAGGAACAAACAACUCCAGACGCGCUGUCUUAAGAGCUAUAACACUCACCGCGAAGGUGUGCAGUUUCACUCCUGAGCUAGUGAGACUACGAAGCCACUGGAACGAAGAAACUCCAACCACGUUUGAACAUCAGAAGGGGCAGACUCCAGACGCUUCAUCUUAAGAGCUGUAACACUCACUGUGAAGGUCUGCAGCUUCACUCCUGAGCCAGCGAGACCACGAACCGAUCUGAACAUCAGAAGGGACAGACUCCAGAUGCCCCACCUUAAGAGCUGUAAUACUCACUGCAAGGGUCUGCAGCUUCAUUCUUGAAGUCAGACCAAGAACCCAGCAAUUCCCAACACACAGGGACCAGCUUCUUUCCUAACUCACUUAGGCUCUUCGUGCUGCUCUGGCAACUAACACCCUUGGCUGCAGGGGCUUGGACACUACCCUUAGUCACUGACAAUUGUGUGAAGGCUGCUGUCGUUAACUUCACUUGAUCACCUUAGGCUCCUGUGAAGUGGUGAGCAAUUCAAACAAAUUCCUGUCGUCAAAUCAUGAGUCCACCUGUCCCGAGUUGGAAGUCUGAACUCAUGUUCCUGGAUUCCUCCCAUGCAUCUUGGUGCUGGUGUGGGGCCUGAACUCAGCCAAUCCGCAACACCUCCAGGAGUCUUCCUCUUAGAUGCUGAGGCCACGGAGAAGGAAGCAGCACAAAGAAUGAACCCUGGAGAGGGUGCCAGAGGCAGGCGGGUUCCAGCCAUGUGGCGGCACAGCCUUACUGGGAUAGUCUAGCUGUGUCACUCAGAAUCCUGAUUUUGUUUGGAAGGACAGCGUGCCUGGUUCCAGGACUUGAAUCAUUCGUUUGUCCAGCAUCUCCAUGCUGUGUACGCUACCCGCCUGUUAGUCAUUGACACUGUCUGCUCCUGACAUCCACCCAUCAAUAUUGUCAUUGCUCAAUGAUCCAGGAUCACCGAGAGCAGAUGAGCCUCCUGAUGCAUGGUCAGAAGGACUGCUUCCCCAACAGCAGGCGAUGGAGUCCCUGAGAUGCCUGCUAAAAAUACAGACCCCUGUUCACAAGGGCCAAGAGGUGGGAGCAACCCAGGUGUGUACGGAUGGAUAAAUGGAUAAGCAAAAUGUGGUCUAGCCAUGCAACGGAAUGUCCUGCAGCCUUGAACAGGAAGGAAAUCUUGACGCGCGCCGCAGCAUGGGGGAGCCGCAAUGAGGACGUUAUGCUAAGCCAGUCACAAGUGCAUGAUUCCACUCAGAGGAAGGACCCAGAGUCGUCAAAUUCAGAGACACAGAGAUGGAGAAAUUGCACUGCAGAGAAAUCUUUAAAAGCAAUUACCUAAUACUGCAGAUUGCUGAACUGUACCCACACCCAAGACUGAGCAUUGGAUCAAUCCAGAAUAUACAUCAGGUGUUCUGCAAUGUCUGCCUAAAACCAUGACUCUGCCUCCUCCAGCUGUUGCUACAUCUCACUAUGGGUUUCCUGUGACAUUUUGAGCAAGUAUGCCUCUGUGACUGGGGUUCUUACACUCCAGAAUGGAUGAGAAGCACCGUAAGUGGCUUUUAAAAUGAAUAUUCCCUGGCCCUUCAGUCGCUCUAUAGGUCAAGAAUCUGAAUUCUCAACCUGUCUAGAAGGUUCUGGUUUUAAUGGUCUGUGGGCUGCACAUUGAGAAACCUGUUCAGCGAGUGCAACAAAGGUUCCACAUGUGAGAAAGGAAGCAUCAGGUCUCUUGAGCCUGUUCUUUAAUCUGUAGGCUGCACCUUCUCUUUAAAUUCUGCUAAUAACACCAUGCGAGAAAACACCCGAGCUUGAAAAGCCCAUGUUCCAACAUAACUGUCCUUCACCACUCUGGAAAAUUAAUGGUUUGUUUCGAUUAUCCCUUUGUUAAACUCCAAAGUCAAAGAGCUCUGAAAGGCAUACGGUUAUUUUAAGUUUCAGGUGAUUUCUGUUGCCAAAUAUUUUAAAAAUUUAAAAUUGCUACGUGACCUCUUAGUAGUACUAUUAGAUUUCCUGACAAUAAAAAUAAGUCUUUUGGUUUCACCAUUUAUAGUUAGUACAGCUAAUAUUAAGUAUAAUUUUAAAAGCCUUUUAUUUUCUCAGAAAGAAAAAAUAAUCAAAAUCUGCUCAGUGUGGUAUUGAAUAAUUAAAAACAAAAGAACAGUAUCUUCACAUUAGUGUUUAAUAUUAAUUGCUUUUUUACCCUUGACACUGGUGCUAAUUAAAUUUUCAUUUUAUUUUCCAUGACUUGUUUAAACAGUUUUUGCAAAUUAUUGCUAAUCAGCCUAAUAAAACUGAAUCACCUAUUAAACAAUUUUGUUUUGAAUUAAAUGGCAUU
ensembl:lncRNA novel transcript